GGGAUCAUAGCUCAGUUGGUUAGAGCGUCUGAUUGUCAAUCAGAAGGUCGGGGGUUCAAGUCCCCUUGGUCCCG
rnacentral:tRNA from 1 species